rnacentral:piRNA from 1 species
UGCUGCUCAAUCUUUAUGUCUCUAUGGA